AUGGAGUUCGAGCUCGGGAAGGUGCACGAGGAGGUCGUCCGCGAGGAGGUGCUGCUCGUUGGCGAGCAGAUGAGGUACGAUGUUGGAGGCGACCAAGGGGUCGUCUCCCCGGCAGCGAGCUGGACGCGCGGCGCACCCUCGUUCCUCCCUCUUUCCUGCUUUAGGGUCGUCGGAUUGGAUGCCCUCGGUGACUUGUCAGGGUACAUAUAUAGACUGAGGCUUGUGUCUCCUGGGUGCAUUUCCUAUAAAAUUAGCUCUCAUCACCAUAACAAAGUUUCUUCCAAUGAAUAUGUGAACCUGGAGAAGACUCACUAUGAAGGUCUCCUGACAACUAAAGUUUUACCUGCUAUUAAAAUGGCCGAAGCAGAGUUCAAUGAGCAUAUGGUAAAGAAAGGUAUCAAUGGAUUCACCAAUGUAGAUUACAAGAGUAAAGGUUUAUCUAAUGAGGCCUUGUCGCGGCGCUACAAGUGUUGCCCCCCUCCUCCCUAA
rnacentral:rRNA from 1 species